rnacentral:piRNA from 1 species
UCAAACAAUCUACUGCAAAUAGCAGGUGGC